rnacentral:tRNA from 1 species
AAAAAGAUGCCUGAAUAAAGGAGUAUUCUGAUAGAAUACAUCAAGUAGAAACACUCUACUCUUUUUA